AUUGAACGCUGGCGGCAGGCCUAACACAUGCAAGUCGAGCGGAGCGGCGGGCGGGUGAGUAAUGCCUAGGAAUCUGCCUGGUAGUGGGGGAUAACGUCCGGAAAGGGGCGCUAAUACCGAACAUUAUCAGAUGAGCCUAGGUCGGAUUAGCUAGGUGGUGGGGGAAAGGCCUACCAAGGCGACGAUCCGUAACUGGUCUGAGGGGAUGAUCAUUCACACUGGAACUGAGACACGGCCCAGACUCCUACGGGAGGCAGCAGUGGGGAAGAUUGCACAAUGGGCGAAAGCCUGAUCCAGCCAUGCCGCGUGUUGGAAGAAGGUCUUCGGUUUGUAAAGCACUGUCAGUUGGGAGGCGUUACCAACAGAAUAAGCACCGGCUAACUCCGUGCCAGCAGCCGCGGUAAUAC
rnacentral:rRNA from 1 species